AACUGCGAGUGAAGUGGGAUGAGCUCAAAUUUGUAAUCUGGCAGUCUUUGGCUGUCCGAGUUGUAAUCUAGAGAAGUGCUUACCUGUGCUGGACCAUGUACAAGUCUCCUGGAAUGGAGCAUCACAGAGGGUGAGAAUCCCGUCUUUGACAUGGACUACCAGUGCUUCUAGGUGUGCUCUCAAAGAGUCGAGUUGUUUGGGAAUGCAGCUCAAAAUGGGUGGUAAAUGCCAUCUAAAGCUAAAUAUUGGCGAGAGACCGAUAGCGAACAAGUACCGUGAGGGAAAGAUGAAAAGAACUUUGGAAAGAGAGUUAAACAGUACGUGAAAUUGCUGAAAGGGAAACGCUUGAAGUCAGUCACGUCAGGUCAGAGAUCAACCUUGCUUUUGCUUGGUGCACUUUCUGUCUGAUGGGUCAGCAUCAGUUUUGGUCGCUGGACAAAGUUCUGGGGAAUGUGGCAUCUCAGGAUGUGUUAUAGCCCUUUGACAUAUGCAGUGGCUGAGACUGAGGAACUCGGCACGCCUUUGAGGCUGGGGACUUGUCCCACACAAAUGUGCUUAGGAUGCUGGCAUAAUGGCUUUAAUCGACCCGUCUUGAAACACGGACCAAGGAGUCUAACAUACCUGCGAGUGUUUGGGUGGAAAACCCAUGCGCGCAAUGAAAGUGAUGGUUGAGAUCCCUGUCGUGGGGAGCAUCGACGCCCAGACCGGACCUUUUGUGAUGGCUCUGCGGUAGAGCAUGUAUGUUGGGACCCGAAAGAUGGUGAACUAUGCCUGAAUAGGGUGAAGCCAGAGGAACUCUG
rnacentral:rRNA from 1 species